UACGUAGGGGGCAAGCGUUGUUCGGAAUUACUGGGCGUAAAGGGCGCGUAGGCGGCCCGCUAAGUCGAACGUGAAAUCCCCGAGCUCAACUCGGGAACUGCGUCCGAUACUGGCGGGCUUGAAUCCGGGAGAGGGAUGCGGAAUUCCAGGUGUAGCGGUGAAAUGCGUAGAUAUCUGGAGGAACACCUGCGGCGAAGGCGGGUUGCUGGGCCGACACUGACGCUGAGACGCGAAAGCGUGGGGAGCGAACAGG
rnacentral:rRNA from 1 species